rnacentral:misc_RNA from 1 species
CGAGAAUAUGCAGCUAAAUGAGAAGCUUAAACCUUGUAAAUGAUUCAAACGAAAUGUAAUUAACGCCUAAAACCCCAAAUUGAUACUUGAAGGAGAUUUUUUUUGGUUGGGCUAGAAACUCGUACGGUUAUUUAGGAAAGACUUGUUUUUGCAUUUGAAAGUUCAAAGCUGAAAACUUUAGAACUGAAAACACUAAAUUCAGA